GUUUGAUCCUGGCUCAGGAUGAACGCUAGCGGCAGGCUUAACACAUGCAAGUCGAGGGGUAUAGGAAGCUUGCUUCCUAGAGACCGGCGCACGGGUGCGUAACGCGUAUGCAAUCUACCUUUUGCAGAGGGAUAGCCCAGAGAAAUUUGGAUUAAUACCUCAUAGUAUGUGAGAAUGGCAUCAUUUUCACAUUAAAGUCACAACGGCAAAAGAUGAGCAUGCGUCCCAUUAGCUUGUUGGUAAGGUAACGGCUUACCAAGGCAACGAUGGGUAGGGGUCCUGAGAGGGAGAUCCCCCACACUGGUACUGAGACACGGACCAGACUCCUACGGGAGGCAGCAGUGAGGAAUAUUGGACAAUGGGCGCAAGCCUGAUCCAGCCAUGCCGCGUGCAGGAUGGCGGUCCUAUGGAUUGUAAACUGCUUUUGUACAGGAAGAAACACUGGUUCGUGAACCAGCUUGACGGUACUGUAAGAAUAAGGAUCGGCUAACUCCGUGCCAGCAGCCGCGGUAAUACGGAGGAUCCAAGCGUUAUCCGGAAUCAUUGGGUUUAAAGGGUCCGUAGGCGGUUUAGUAAGUCAGUGGUGAAAGCCCAUCGCUCAACGGUGGAACGGCCAUUGAUACUGCUAGACUUGAAUUAUUAGGAAGUAACUAGAAUAUGUAGUGUAGCGGUGAAAUGCUUAGAGAUUACAUGGAAUACCAAUUGCGAAGGCAGGUUACUACUAAUGGAUUGACGCUGAUGGACGAAAGCGUGGGUAGCGAACAGGAUUAGAUACCCUGGUAGUCCACGCCGUAAACGAUGGAUACUAGCUGUUGGGCGCAAGUUCAGUGGCUAAGCGAAAGUGAUAAGUAUCCCACCUGGGGAGUACGUUCGCAGAAUGAAACUCAAAGGAAUUGACG
rnacentral:rRNA from 1 species